rnacentral:rRNA from 1 species
CGUAUCACUUAAAGCGAUUCAGCGGAUGACGAUUGACGGAGCGAAGCGACGUCAAAGCGUUUUACAACGUCGAGUCGGUUUAAGGAUACGUUCGUUGGGUAGGGGAGCGUUCUGUAAGCCUGCGAAGGUGUGUCGUGAGGCAUGCUGGAGGUAUCAGAAGUGCGAAUGCUGACAUAAGUAACGAUAAUGCGGGUGAAAAACCCGCACGCCGGAAGACCAAGGGUUCCUGUCCAACGUUAAUCGGGGCAGGGUGAGUCGACCCCUAAGGCGAGGCCGAAAGGCGUAGUCGAUGGGAAACAGGUUAAUAUUCCUGUACCUGGUGUUACUGCGAAGGGGGGACGGAGAAGGCUAUGUUGGCCGGGCGACGGUUGUCCCGGUUUAAGCGUGUAGGUGUGUGUUCCAGGAAAAUCCGGUUCACUUUAACACUGAGGCGUGACGACGAGGCACUACGGUGCUGAAGCAACAAAUGCCCUGCUUCCAGGAAAAGCCUCUAAGCCUCAGGUAACAUCAGAUCGUACCCGAAACCGACACAGGUGGUCAGGUAGAGAAUACCAAGGCGCUUGAGAGAACCCGGGUGAAGGAACUAGGCAAAAUGGUGCCGUAACUUCGGGAGAAGGCACGCUGACACGUAGGUGAAGCGGUUUACCCGUGGAGCUGAAGUCAGUCGAAGAUACCAGCUGGCUGCAACUGUUUAUUAAAAACACAGCACUGUGCAAACACGAAAGUGGACGUAUACGGUGUGACGCCUGCCCGGUGCCGGAAGGUUAAUUGAUGGGGUCAGCGCAAGCGAAGCUCCUGAUCGAAGCCCCGGUAAACGGCGGCCGUAACUAUAACGGUCCUAAGGUAGCGAAAUUCCUUGUCGGGUAAGUUCCGACCUGCACGAAUGGCGUAAUGAUGGCCAGGCUGUCUCCACCCGGGACUCAGUGAAAUUGAACUCGCUGUGAAGAUGCAGUGUACCCGCGGCAAGACGGAAAGACCCCGUGAACCUUUACUAUAGCUUGACACUGAACACUGGUCCUUGAUGUGCAGGAUAGGUGGGAGGCUUUGAAGUGUGGACGCCAGUCUGCAUGGAGCCGUCCUUGAAAUACCACCCUUUAAUGGCUGGUGUUCUAACGUAGACCCGUGAACCGGGUUGCGGACAGUGUCUGGUGGGUAGUUUGACUGGGGCGGUCUCCUCCUAAAGCGUAACGGAGGAGCACGAAGGUUGGCUAAUCCUGGUCGGACAUCAGGAGGUUAGUGCAAUGGCAUAAGCCAGCUUGACUGCGAGCGUGACGGCGCGAGCAGGUGCGAAAGCAGGUCAUAGUGAUCCGGUGGUUCUGAAUGGAAGGGCCAUCGCUCAACGGAUAAAAGGUACUCCGGGGAUAACAGGCUGAUACCGCCCAAGAGUUCAUAUCGACGGCGGUGUUUGGCACCUCGAUGUCGGCUCAUCACAUCCUGGGGCUGAAGUAGGUCCCAAGGGUAUGGCUGUUCGCCAUUUAAAGUGGUACGCGAGCUGGGUUUAGAACGUCGUGAGACAGUUCGGUCCCUAUCUGCCGUGGGCGCUGGAGAACUGAGGGGGGCUGCUCCUAGUACGAGAGGACCGGAGUGGACGCAUCACUGGUGUUCGGGUUGUCAUGCCAAUGGCACUGCCCGGUAGCUAAAUGCGGAAGAGAUAAGUGCUGAAAGCAUCUAAGCACGAAACUUGCCCCGAGAUGAGUUCUCCCUGAGACUACGAGUCUCCUGAAGGAACGUUGAAGACGACGACGUUGAUAGGCCGGGUGUGUAAGCGCAGCGAUGCGUUGAGCUAACCGGUACUAAUGAACCGUGAGGCUUAACCUUACAACGCCGAAG